GGCUUCCUCCAGUGUUGUGGGCUGGAGACAAGAUGAAGUGGACUUUGAUGGCUUUGGCGAUUUAUUCAAUGAGCCUGAGGUUUCUCAAGGACCAGUUGCAGGUCCCUCGUUAGACAAUGAAUCUGCAGGACCUGGCUUUACAGCAGCAAACAGCAGUGAGUCUGAUCUGGAUGAAGUUGAUAAUAGCGAUUCUCCAGUGUCUGUUGAGAGUUGUUUGGCUCAUUUUAUAAAGCCAGAGCUUCUUUCUGAUGAUAAUGCUUGGGAAUGUGAGAACUGUUCAAAAACCCUGCAAAGGUUGGAAGCCAAGAAAAAACAAGGUAAAACUGUAUUACAAACUAAGAUAAAUGGAGGUGAGACUCGAUUCCAAAGUCAUCCACCAAAUGUAGACAAUGGGGUCUUAUGUAGUACAGAAGUCAGAAACCUUCAUAAUGGAGAUAUUAAUACCAAUGCUUUUCUUAACUCCACGGGUAAUGGCUUGGUUUCAGAUAAUGGAAAAUUUUAUUUCUCUAAUCAAAAUUGCAUAG
rnacentral:misc_RNA from 1 species